GCUGCCCCUCGGCUAUUGGCUAUUCGUUCUCCCCGCGUGCUCUCGAGCAGGGACGAGCAGCCGCGCCGCGCGGGACAAGGUGUGGGCGGACGAGCAGGGAGUCGCCGGGGAAGCCGCGGGCGGACGAGCAGGGCCUCGCCGAGACCCGCAGGGGCUUGCCGUGGGAGCUGCUCUCCGGGUCACCGGGCGAGGAGCCCGCUGCGGCACAGGCUCACCGGAGAAGAGGAGCUGUGUGGGCGGGGCGCGGGAGCUCGUGCCGCAGGAGCGGCUGCCGUGGGGAGGAGCUCGCUCCAGGGGAAGGGAUCUGCUCUGAAGCUCGCUCUGCCGCGCCGUUGAGAGGAGCUGGGAGCCCGCGCCGCCGUCGGUAGGAGCUGGGAGCGCUUGUUCGGUAGGAGCUGGGAGCGUGACGACUAGGCUACCACCGCCGGCUGCCGCCGCCGCCGCUCUACGCUAGAUGCCAAUGUCUUCGCCGGACCUUUCCCCGGAAACGAGCACCCAACAGGUUCAUAUGGCCUGUGUAAUGCAAGGACGUAGAGUUGGAGUGGCAUACUAUGAUUCGGAUACUCGCCAACUUUUUGUGUUAGAAAUCUGGGAAGACAGCGUUGGGGAAUAUCCUCUGAUUGAUCUUGUGAAAUUUCAGUCAAAACCAAGCACAAUAUAUGCAAGCACAAAAACAGAAGAAGCACUUUUGUCGGCUUUACAACGAAAUGAUGGUAACAAUGAGGCUCCUGUUGUGAAGCUUAUGAAAAGCUCAACAUUCAGCUAUGAGCAAGCCUGGCACAGAUUGAUCUACUUGAAAGUUGCAGCUAUGGAUGAUGGACUCAGUGCAAAAGAAAGGAUAUGCUUUCUUAAUUCCAUGAUGGAUCUUGGAAGCGAUGUUCAAGUUCGUGCUGCUGGAGGUCUCCUAGCCAUAUUAGACAAUGAGAGACUUCUUGACACCAUUGAGCAGAUGCAAGGUGGAGCAUCCAUUGCAAUCGAUUCUGUGGUACAGAUCUCAUUAGACAAGUUCCUUAAACUCGAUGCAACUGCUCAUGAAGCACUACAGAUUUUUCAAGUAGAUAAACACCCUAGUUACAUGGGAAUUGGAAGGGCUAAAGAAGGGUUCUCAGUUUUUGGCAUGCUCAACAAGUGUGUCACGCCAAUGGGAAAACGCCUCUUGAGGGCAUGGUUCCUACGUCCUAUAAUUGAUAUUGAUGUCAUAAAUAAUCGCCUCAACACAAUAACAUUCUUUCUUUGCUGUGAAGAAGUAAUGUCUGCAUUGCGUGAGACUUUAAAGUCUGUCAGAGAUGUUCCCCACAUGCUCCAGAAAUUCAACUCUCCAAGUUCCUUCUGUACAAGCAGUGACUGGACCACAUUUCUUAAGUGCAUUUGCUCUCUGCUACAUAUAAACAAGAUUUUUGAAGUAGGAAUAUCAGAGCAUCUGGCGAUUAAGUUGCAACAUAUGAACAUUGAUUUGAUUGGAAAGGCAAAUUCUUCCAUUACAGCAGAGUUGGAUUACGUGUCAGACCUGGUAGUUGGUGUGAUUGAUGUUCAACGGGGUAAGGAGAAAGGCUAUGAAACCGUGGUGAAAGAAGGGUUAUGUGAUGAGCUGGAUGAGCUGAGGAUGGUGUAUGAAGGUUUACCUGACUUUCUGGAGCAGGUGUCAGAUAAUGAAAACGCUUCUUUACCUUUCUCAUUUGGAUGCAGAAUAGCUCCACUAGUAGUCUAUGUACACCAAAUAGGGUACCUAAUGUGCUUUUUUGAUGAGAAGAUUAGUGAUGCCUUGUUGGCAGGACUUCCAGAUUACGAAUUUGCGUUUUCAGACGAAGGUGAGGAGAGAAGGUUCUUCUAUCAUACCCAAAAGACUAGAGAACUGGACAACCUUCUUGGAGAUAUUUAUCAUAAAAUUCUUGACAUGGAGAGAGCUAUCAUAAGGGAUUUAGUGUGUCGCGUCCUUCAAUUUCUACCUCAACUGACAAAAGCAGUGAACUUUGCAGCAGAACUUGAUUGUAUUUUAUCAUUAGCAAUUGUUGCUCGCCAAAACAAUUAUGUGAGGCCCAUCUUAACUGAAGAUUCAAUACUCGAGAUACAUAAUGGCAGACAUGCUUUGCAGGAAAUGACUGUUGAUACCUUUGUUCCGAAUGAUAUCAAAAUUCGUGAUGCAGGAAGAAUAAACAUAAUAACUGGGCCCAACUACUCAGGAAAAAGCAUUUACAUUAAGCAGGUGGCCUUGAUAGUUUUUCUUGCUCAUAUUGGAAGCUUUGUUCCUGCUGAUUCUGCUAUUGUUGGAUUGACAGAUAGGAUAUUCUGUGCAAUGGGAAGCAAAUCCAUGACAACUGAACAGUCAACUUUUAUGAUUGACCUACAUCAAGUUGGAACAAUGCUUAGGCAUGCAACAUCCAGGUCACUGUGUUUGUUGGAUGAAUUCGGUAAGGGCACUCUAACGGAAGAUGGCAUUGGUCUGCUUGGAGGUACUAUCAGUCAUUUUGCAAACUAUGAUCCCCCCCCGAAGGUCCUUUUGUCAACACAUCUGACAGAGAUCUUCACCGAGAACUACCUACCACAGUCUGAACAUAUCAAAUGUUAUACCAUGAGUGUUCUGAAUCCUGAUGGACAGACGAGCAAUGAAGAUAUCAUAUUCCUUUAUCGGCUUGUACCUGGGCAAGCUCUCUUAAGCUUUGGUCUGCAUUGUGCAUGGCUUGCUGAUUGGUAUUGUCAGCAUUGUUUUGCUUCAAUUAAAAGUUGCGGUCAUAGUGAAGUGAUUGACAUGUUGACAUGCCAAUUGCCAUGUGUUCCAAAUGAAGUUGUCCAGAGAGCUGACAGUGUUUUAGGGGACAUACAUUCCAAGAAACCUGCGAGGCGCGUGACCAGUGAGAAAUUAACAGCAACAGACAAGCAGUACCAGGAUGCAGUGACUAAACUGAUGGCCAUCGAUACACAGAAAGAUGACCUGAACAGCUUCUUCCAGGAACUAUUCCCCUCCGAAUUGUAGCUCUCGAAAUCAAGACUUGUACAGGAAAAAGGAUGAAAGUUGGAAUGGUUACUGGAACCUACAGGAAUGAGUACUGGAACCUCCAGCAAAAAGGGUGAAAGUUGGAAUGGCCUCGGGGGUUAUGUCAUCGGAAUCAAUCACUGAAAGUCCUUGACGGGAAAUACUAACAGGCAUCUUCAGUGAAAGAGUCGGCCAUCGAGUCUACUCGCGACGACCUGCAAGGCUGCAACUCAGAGUUAGGAUGUGUGCUGACCUCACUGUCUUGCACAAACUAGACUAGAUUCGACAAUUUGUUUUUGACAACUUUUUUUUUUGCGACUUGUUUUUGACAACUGAUAUGCCACAUGUGUUAGCGGUCUUUCCUCUAAGAAAUAUAUUUAUAUUAUUAUCUUUUA